UUGAGUGUGUGUUAGAUCUCCCUUUAUCUGGUUGCUGCAGUUUUGAAAUUGUGCGGUGUUCAUAUCUGUCUCUCUCUCUCUAGGGUUUCGCGGAUGAAGAACUGAAGGAAUUUCUGAUACUCGGAUUUGUUGGUUUCCCUGUGACACGCUCACGAUCGAAAGAUUUGAAACUACCACCGUUGGUGGAGGGAUGCAAGAACCCUACCACCGGCGGCCAGACAUCAGACCAGCGGCAGGAUUACUCUCCCGAGGAUACGAAGGUAGCUUCAGAUCAAAAAAAGAACUCAAAGGUAGCUUCAUCUCACAAAAAGAAGAACGCAAAGGUAGCUGCAUCUCACAAAAAGAAGAAAGUGAAGGGUGUCCCGAAAAAAUCUAACAAGGCGGUGGCCAAGAACCCUACCCCCGUUGGCUUGACAUCAGAAGAGCUGCAUAAAUACUCUCGCGAGGAUUUCGAUUACAAAGAGUUUCAUGGUCCGGUCUUUGACAUGCCACCAUUACUUAAGAUUUUAACAUCGCGAGCCCGACCAAUAAUACCAAAGUAUAUCUUGCGUGGGAAUCUCGAUGUGAUCGCUGCUAUGGAAUAUCACAACCGUCGAUGCGUAUGUGGUUGAUUGUUCUUCUGUUUUUUUUUUUUUCCGAGUAUGUGUGUUUGUGUGUGUGUCUUGUUCUUGGUUUUUGGUAACUACCUUGUGGAUGUUGUACUG